CGGGGGAGGCCGGGUCCUGGGCUGUGUCCCGGCGCCCUGUGUUCCGGGGCCUGCGCUGUUGGAUUCGCGCUCCCGCCCCGCAGCCCCCU
rnacentral:pre_miRNA from 1 species